GAUCCAUUGAUAAAUGUAGCAUGGAGGUGAGCUCGAGCGUGCGAGUGAUAGUGUGUGAUGCAUGAGUUAUAUAGUCAGUCUACCUCUACCGCUACCUCCUCUGCCUACUAUAUACUAUAUACAUCAUACUGGACUACCGACUUAUGUUAUACUUAUGUGUUGUUGGUUGUUGUGAAAGAUAUAAAGAAUAGCACAAGACUCAAGCACCUGGUCACAGGGAAAAAAAAGACUUAAAUGAAGAGCCACAUCAACGAAAGGCACUAACAUCUGGUUCUUCGCUGCGGUUUCGGCAUUUAGGCGAUGAUGGAUCACAGAUACAUAAAUACAAGUGUAAAUAUACAUGAUGUGUCACCCGCCCAAUAAAUACCCAUAAACCGGAAGCAACGCGCUUCGUUUAUUGAUUCUUAAAAGUUUUAAUAAAAACCUGGAAUAAUACUGGAAUAUAAUGAGGUCGACAUCAUCUUCUUGUAUGCUUUAAAUUGCCACACCACACGUACCAGUGGCGCUCGUGUCAUAAUGAAUCGAACAAGACGGUGAACUGCUUUCGAAGUGAGUUAAAUGAACACCUGUGCCAACUGGGGCACAUCCGAGAAGCACAGACGGACGAAAGAGUGAACGGGUGGCCAAAACAGGUGGGCCUGGGUGCUGGGAUUCUAUGCCCGGCCGGUGCACGUAGCCACCAGGCUGCAUAUUUCAACUUAAUUCAUGGAGAUUUUCGAGCACAAGCGUCACAACUACCCUCCUUACAUCCUAUCCCUCGCUACAUCUAACCAAAAUCAAAAAACGUACACGUGGGUUAAACGAUCACUCUCCUUUCCUUAUUCUUAUCUUUAUAGAUCGUCUUCACAGUAUUUUAACUCUAAUUGUUAUCUUUUAUUUUAAACUUGCCGCUUAUUAUACAGCUAUUUACUGUUGAGGGCUCUUUUUGUUACCCUUGGUUUAUACUUUCA